rnacentral:rRNA from 1 species
UACAGAGGUCUCAAGCGUUGUUCGGAUUCAUUGGGCGUAAAGGGUGCGUAGGCGGUAGGGUAAGUCGGAUGUGAAAUCCCGGGGCUCAACCCCGGAACUGCAUUCGAUACUGCUUUACUUGAGGACUGGAGAGGAGAUUGGAAUUCACGGUGUAGCAGUGAAAUGCGUAGAUAUCGUGAGGAAGACCAGUGGCGAAGGCGAAUCUCUGGACAGAUCCUGACGCUGAGGCACGAAGGCUAGGGGAGCAAACGGG